rnacentral:lncRNA from 1 species
AUAUUUACUAUGUUUCUCACUCAGGCUUCAAUUUAAAUAAUUACAAUUGUGAAAUUAUCAUCGGAAGAUCCAAAAGUCCUGGCAAGGAGUGAGUCUAUGAGAGAUAAUGAGUUAAACAUGUUACUAUUUGCAAAUCUAUGGACACGGUGAAGUUGUAGUCAUGCUCUAUUGUCUUACCUCGAAAUUUGCAACUACUUGAUACAUUUAUCAGUAUUGAGAGUCUAUUGGAAAGUUCUACGUCAGGAGCACAACUUACAUACGUUUCCCUCCCUUUUCCCCUAUUUGGUGACUAGAUCUUCCAAUUGUAGUAUACAUGUUUCAUAUCACCUGUUGGGGGAGAUUGAUGGCAAUUUGGUCAACAACAAUUUUUGAGCACUUCAGUUACCUCACCUCUUGUUUAGAAUAGUUUGUGCUAAUUUUCCUUGGACAAUGAGUUGUGUAGUUGAAGUUAUAAUCAUUCAUGACUAUCAUAUGUAGCAUGGUCAGGCAGGCAAAAGAAAUGCAGAUUAAAAUUUGUUUGAUUUUCAUGCAGCGCAAGAGGAGUCUAGAUGGUCAUUCUUUUGGGACAGACUGUGUGGGUCAUUACCAUGAGACUAGUACUAAUAGUGUCUCCUCUGUUUUGAUGGCAUGGCAACAUUUGAUGUCAUUGGCUGAUUCCACGACUUAUUUUGCUGGUAGAGCACUCUGGGAAAAAAGUUUUGGAUUUUGAGGCUUUCAGCUUCCCUGGAGUGCAAUCUUUUUCCCUGUCUCCCGGUAAAUCUGUCAUCAAUCUGAGCCAGGGGAGUUGGUUUAUUAGGAUAUUGCUUUCGCAAGCCUCCCUUUUCUAAAUUAAAAUGUUGAGUCUGUCAUGUUGAUCUAUGUGCUGGACAUCUAGAUAUUCCUUGGGGGCUUUCUAGUUUCCUGUACUUGCACUUUGGCUGGCACAAACCUUUCAGAGACGUAUCAUUUUCUCAUUUCCAGUCUGUAGAUUUUGAAUAUUUUUAGAGAAGUGGUGAAAAAUGAUGUGUGGAGCUCAUUUGCAUGGUGCAAGUGCCUGGGUGGAUGGACUUGGUGAGCACUAGCAGGACCUGUGCUCUAGAUACUUCUUUGAUUAGAUUGUGUUGAAAUUGCGUUGUACUUCUGUAAAAUGGAAUUGGACCGAACUAUCUUGGUAUUUCUCUCUCUCUCUUUCUCUCUCUAUACAGACAGCCACUCACAUAGAUGUAUCCUUGCAUGUGCCUGUCCUUGCACAUCCUUGUGCUUGUGUGCGAGUGCAACAAAAGUGUGCACCUUUCUCACAUAUGUUCAAUGGUUGUUGUUCUGCCAGAACUUUUUGAUACUAUCAUAAUCUGAUAACAAAAGUGGAGCUAAUUUGCACGGUGCAAGUGCCUGGGUAGAUGGACCUGGUUAGCACUAGCAGGACCUGUGCCCUAGAUACUUCUUUGAUUAAAUUGUGUUGAAAUUG